rnacentral:rRNA from 1 species
UACGUAGGGUGCGAGCGUUGUCCGGAAUUAUUGGGCGUAAAGGGCUCGUAGGCGGUUUGUCGCGUCGGGAGUGAAAACCAGGUGCUUAACACCUGGCUUGCUUUCGAUACGGGCAGACUAGGGGUAUGCAGGGGAGAACGGAAUUCCUGGUGUAGCGGUGAAAUGCGCAGAUAUCAGGAGGAACACCGAUGGCGAAGGCAGGUCUCUGGGCAUUAACUGACGCUGAGGAGCGAAAGCAUGGGGAGCGAACAGG